rnacentral:lncRNA from 1 species
ACACUUCAGCUCUUUUAUUCAAUUAAUGUUUUAGAAGCAGAUGUGAUGUUCACUCAGGCUAAAGAACACACACACACACACACACACACACACACACACUCCUGCACACUGCACACAUAUUAUAAGCCUUUUAAUAGAGCAGAUGAAUUGCUAGAAAACACGGGGUAGGCUGAGAGUGAGCGUGUGUGUGUGUGUGUGUGUGUGUGUGUGCUGAACAUUUCCACAGCCAAGCAUCAAGUGGCAAAAAAUCUCAUAGUGUGGGAGAGAGAGAGAGCGAGAGAGAGAGAGAAUGAGGGAGAGAAAGAGAAGGGUACAUAUAUAGGGAGAGGAAAAGAGAGAGAGAAAGACAGAUAAAGUGAGAGGGGACAUAACGAGAGGGAGAAAGAGAGAGAGAGAAGGGUAUAUAUAUAGGGAGAGGAAAAGAGAGAGAGAGAAAGACAGAUAAAGAGAGAGGGGACAUAACGAGAGGGAGACAAAGAGAGAGAGAGAGAGAGAGAGAGAGAGAGAGGGACAGAGUAAACUGUUGCCAGGUUGGAUCGUAUUGCUAUUAGAGUGACAGUGUGUGUAGCUGAAUAGAGUGUGUGUGGUGUGUGUGAUGUGUGUGUGUGUUAGAGUGUGUUAGAGUGCUGGAGUAUUCCUCCGUCUGAUCAUCCCUCACUCUGCGCUCGCCUGAGGACUGCAUGCAGGGAGAGAGAGCCUGUCCCCCAGGAGACAAUCACACACCGGGACACUCACACACCGGGACACACACACACUUAUGCAGACACACUGCGCAGAGGGACCCAGACCUCUCCUGACCCAGCCUGCACUGUGGGACGGGGGUGUUGGGGAGCUGGGAUGAGGACCUGACCCGGCUGCAGUGGACAGUCUGAGACAUGAGUGUGUCCUCCGCCGCGCAGUGUGUGUGAGGGACGGGGACACGGAGAUGGACGGAGUGUGUCCUCCAGCCGGGAGCCGCAGCCGCUCGGAUCAAAUGCUCCAGUUUGGAUAACACACUGCGAGAGAGAGCGCGCACACACACACACACACACACACACGGACGAGGACGCGGAGGGAGAGGAUCCAGCGGGAAGCGCCAGGGUCCUGGAUUUUUCCACAGUUCCCUGGAAACCCCUGCUUACUGGGCUUCUCCAAACAGUGAUAUAGCCAAACCCCUCCACUGACCCCCCCAGGACCAAACGACUAAGACGGGGGAGUCAGUGAAGGGGGGAGAAAUUUCUACUUUGAAGUCCUGUAGACAUACUUUGGCUGGACCAUUCGCGCAACGCUGAAUAGAGA